AACCUUUACAAUGCUGGCAACAGCGAUAGGGGGACCUCGAGUGCCAGGUUACAAAUCUGGCUGUCGUUGUGUCUAAAAAACACGAUAUAGCAAGGGCCGGGCAAGACCGGUGCCAGCCGCCGCGGUAACACCGGCGGCUCGAGUGGUAACCGUUAUUAUUGGGUUUAAAGGGUCUGUAGCCGGCCUGGUUAGUCCUUUGGGAAAUCCGGCAGCUCAACUGUCGGGCUUUCAGAGGAUACUGCCAGGCUCGAGACCGGGAGAGGUGAGAGGUACUUCAGGGGUAGGGGUGAAAUCUUGUAAUCCUUGAAGGACCACCAGUGGCGAAGGCGUCUCACCAGAACGGAUCUGACGGCAAGGGACGAAAGCUAGGGGCACGAACCGG
rnacentral:rRNA from 1 species